AGAGUUUGAUCCUGGCUCAGGACGAACGCUGGCGGCGUGCCUAAUACAUGCAAGUAGAACGCUGAAGAGAGGAGCUUGCUCUUCUUGGAUGAGUUGCGAACGGGUGAGUAACGCGUAGGUAACCUGCCUGGUAGCGGGGGAUAACUAUUGGAAACGAUAGCUAAUACCGCAUGAAAUUGCUUAUCGCAUGAUAAUUAAUUGAAAGAUGCAAUUGCAUCACUACCAGAUGGACCUGCGUUGUAUUAGCUAGUUGGUGAGGUAACGGCUCACCAAGGCGACGAUACAUAGCCGACCUGAGAGGGUGAUCGGCCACACUGGGACUGAGACACGGCCCAGACUCCUACGGGAGGCAGCAGUAGGGAAUCUUCGGCAAUGGGGGGAACCCUGACCGAGCAACGCCGCGUGAGUGAAGAAGGUUUUCGGAUCGUAAAGCUCUGUUGUAAGAGAAGAACGGGUGUGAGAGUGGAAAGUUCACACUGUGACGGUAUCUUACCAGAAAGGGACGGCUAACUACGUGCCAGCAGCCGCGGUAAUACGUAGGUCCCGAGCGUUGUCCGGAUUUAUUGGGCGUAAAGCGAGCGCAGGCGGUUAGAUAAGUCUGAAGUUAAAGGCUGUGGCUUAACCAUAGUAUGCUUUGGAAACUGUUUAACUUGAGUGCAGAAGGGGAGAGUGGAAUUCCAUGUGUAGCGGUGAAAUGCGUAGAUAUAUGGAGGAACACCGGUGGCGAAAGCGGCUCUCUGGUCUGUAACUGACGCUGAGGCUCGAAAGCGUGGGGAGCGAACAGGAUUAGAUACCCUGGUAGUCCACGCCGUAAACG
rnacentral:rRNA from 1 species